rnacentral:rRNA from 1 species
CCUACGGGGGGCAGCAGUGGGGAAUAUUGCGCAAUGGGCGAAAGCCUGACGCAGCGACACCGCGUGAGGGAUGAAGGUCUUCGGAUCGUAAACCUCUGUCAGCAGGGAAGAACGGUCACUGUGCUAAUCAGCAGUGAAUUGACGGUACCUGCAAAGGAAGCACCGGCUAACUCCGUGCCAGCAGCCGCGGUAAUAAGGAGGAGGUGAGCGUUAAUCGGAAUUACUGGGCGUAAAGGGCUCGUAGGCGGUAUGGUAAGUCAAGGGUGAAAUCCCCGCGCUCAACGUGGGAACUGCCUUUGAAACUGGCAAACUGGAGUGUGGUAGAGGGAAGUGGAAUUCCAGGUGUAGGAGUGAAAUCCGUAGAUAUCUGGAGGAACAUCAGUGGCGAAGGCGACUAUCUGGCACAUAACUGACGCUGAGGAGCGAAAGCGUGGGUAGCAAACAGGAUUAGAUACCCUAGUAGUC